GAUGAACGCUGGCGGCGUGCUUAACACAUGCAAGUCGAACGGAAAGGCCCAAGCUUGCUUGGGUACUCGAGUGGCGAACGGGUGAGUAACACGUGGGUGAUCUGCCCUGCACUUCGGGAUAAGCCUGGGAAACUGGGUCUAAUACCGGAUAGGACCACAUUUUGGAUGGUGUGGUGGAAAGUCUUUCGGUGUGGGAUGAGCUCGCGGCCUAUCAGCUUGUUGGUGGGGUAAUGGCCUACCAAGGCGUCGACGGGUAGCCGGCCUGAGAGGGUGUACGGCCACAUUGGGACUGAGAUACGGCCCAGACUCCUACGGGAGGCAGCAGUGGGGAAUAUUGCACAAUGGGCGCAAGCCUGAUGCAGCGACGCCGCGUGGGGGAUGACGGCCUUCGGGUUGUAAACGCCUUUCGCUAGGGACGAAGCGUUAUGUGACGGUACCUGGAGAAGAAGCACCGGCUAACUACGUG
rnacentral:rRNA from 1 species